GAUGAACGCUGGCGGCGUGCUUAACACAUGCAAGUCGAACGGUGAAGGCGGAGCUUGCUCUGCUGGAUCAGUGGCGAACGGGUGAGUAACACGUGAGCAAUCUGCCCCUGACUCUGGGAUAAGCGCUGGAAACGGCGUCUAAUACUGGAUACGAGCUGCGAAGGCAUCUUCAGCAGCUGGAAAGAACUUCGGUCAGGGAUGAGCUCGCGGCCUAUCAGCUUGUUGGUGAGGUAACGGCUCACCAAGGCGUCGACGGGUAGCCGGCCUGAGAGGGUGACCGGCCACACUGGGACUGAGACACGGCCCAGACUCCUACGGGAGGCAGCAGUGGGGAAUAUUGCACAAUGGGCGAAAGCCUGAUGCAGCAACGCCGCGUGAGGGACGACGGCCUUCGGGUUGUAAACCUCUUUUAGCAGGGAAGAAGCGAAAGUGACGGUACCUGUAGAAAAAGCGCCGGCUAACUACGUG
rnacentral:rRNA from 1 species